CUUAAAAAAUGCAAAGACAACACCAGGAAGUGGAAUUUGAGACAAGUUGUUAUAUUGCCAGAGGGAGAGGGCUUCAGUGAAUGGAUCACAUGCAACAAUGUGGAUUUUUCUACCAGAAUAUUAAAGAAUUAUCUCCUGGAGCAAGCCGUCCAGUCGUGUCUGCAUAUCCAAAAUAUAAAUAUUAUUUGGCAGGUGAUAUUAACAUUAAAAAGCUAAUCAAAUAUACUCUUCUAAAAUGCAUGCGUUAUUUUGAUGACUUUGGUUCUAAAUCAGCUUGAUGAUACUCAUUUUCCUUCUAAGAUUACUAUCCCAUUUCCCAAAAUCUUUGUAACAAAGCCUAUUUAUUCUCAAGUGUUUGUUUAGGGUUUAUACCUGUAUUUAUCAGCAGCACAUUGAUUCUGUGAUGCAAAAGCAGAGGAAGCCUACUUCAACACUUUCUUAAGUACUUAAUUUUCUUUGUUUAAGAGCUCAAUCUGACUGAUAAGGAUGAGUUGACACCUCUUCAGGAAUUAAUUGAGAAGCUUGCAACAAAGAU
rnacentral:lncRNA from 1 species